CUGGCGUGGAACGGGUACUCAAUAAAUGAUGAAUGAAUGAAUGAAUGAAUGAAAAUGGACACAUCAAUUCUAGUUGACUUUCUGGCCUUUGGCCAGGUACUUAACUGCUCUGAGCCCCAGUUUCUGCAUCCAUAGCAUGGGGGAUAGUAAGAGUUCCUACUUCACAGGGUUGUCAUCAGAAUUCAAUGAGACAAAAUAUGCAAAGUACUUAGCGCGUUGUGUAGAAUGUAAUAGGCACUCAACCAAUGUUAGCUUAGUACUACUUUUUCUGUGUAAGAUUAUGUUGUCCUUUCCACAGCCCUGUAAGGAGAAAUAUACCAUCCCCACUGAACAGAUGAGAAAACUGAGGCUCAGAGGUGUCAGGUGACUGCCUGAGGUCACAGGUGGGACUGGGGCUCCUUGGUCUGUCCUCUUUCUACUGCGAAACAGUCUGGUGAAGCCACAGAAGGACCCAUUCCUGCUAAUGAGGCACUAAAGGAAUGGACCACGCAGUAUCCUUCAAGGAAGAAUCAAGAAUGUUUCCACAGAGAAUAUACAUAUUUCAUCUCUUUCUCUGCUGAAUGGAUCCCCACUGAAAGCCAUGAAUUACUCUCAUUAGACCCUGUAGAAUCCCAGUUUAUGGCAGUGACAUUAAAAACAUCUAGUUUAUGACUUGGAUUAGGCAGCCUGUAAAAUGGCUUCCAGUGAUCCCUGCUUUCUGGUAUGUAUGCCUUUGUAUAAUACCCUCCUCAUGAGUGUAGGCAGAGGUAACAUCACUUUUGAAACUAGGUUAUAUAUAUUAAAACAAACAAACAAACCUGUGGCUUCCAUUUUGGGUACUUUAUCUCACACUCUGAUUUCUUGCUCCGUGGGAAACAGACUGUAAUAUUGUAAGCAGUGCUAUGGAGAGGUCCAUGUGGUAAGGAAGUGAUAGGUCCUGAUAACAGCCAGUGAGGAUCUAAGGUGGAUCCCUUUCUGAGUUGAAUAUUGAGAUAGAUGACUACAGC
rnacentral:lncRNA from 1 species